UACGGGGGGGGCAAGCGUUGUUCGGAAUUACUGGGCGUAAAGGGCUCGUAGGCGGCCAACUAAGUCGGACGUGAAAUCCCCAGGCUCAACCUGGGAACUGCGUCCGAUACUGGAUGGCUUGAAUCCGGGAGAGGGAUGCAGAAUUCCAGGUGUAGCGGUGAAAUGCGUAGAUAUCUGGAGGAAUACCGGCGGCGAAGGCGGCAUCCUGGACCGGCAUUGACGCUGAGGAGCGAAAGCCAGGGGAGCAAAGCGGGG
rnacentral:rRNA from 1 species